rnacentral:rRNA from 1 species
GGAAUCUACUCUGUCGUGGGGGAUAACGUAGGGAAACUUACGCUAAUACCGCAUACGACCUACGGGUGAAAGCAGGGGACCUUCGGGCCUUGCGCGAUUGAAUGAGCCGAUGUCGGAUUAGCUAGUUGGCGGGGUAAAGGCCCACCAAGGCGACGAUCCGUAGCUGGUCUGAGAGGAUGAUCAGCCACACUGGAACUGAGACACGGUCCAGACUCCUACGGGAGGCAGCAGUGGGGAAUAUUGGACAAUGGGCGCAAGCCUGAUCCAGCCAUACCGCGUGGGUGAAGAAGGCCUUCGGGUUGUAAAGCCCUUUUGUUGGGAAAGAAAUCCAGCUGGCUAAUACCCGGUUGGGAUGACGGUACCCAAAGAAUAAGCACCGGCUAACUUCGUGCCAGCAGCCGCGGUAAUACGAAGGGUGCAAGCGUUACUCGGAAUUACUGGGCGUAAAGCGUGCGUAGGUGGUCGUUUAAGUCCGUUGUGAAAGCCCUGGGCUCAACCUGGGAACUGCAGUGGAUACUGGGCGACUAGAAUGUGGUAGAGGGUAGCGGAAUUCCUGGUGUAGCAGUGAAAUGCGUAGAGAUCAGGAGGAACAUCCAUGGCGAAGGCAGCUACCUGGACCAACAUUGACACUGAGGCACGAAAGCGUGGGGAGCAAACAGGAUUAGAUACCCUGGUAGUCCACGCCCUAAACGAUGCGAACUGGAUGUUGGGUGCAAUUUGGCACGCAGUAUCGAAGCUAACGCGUUAAGUUCGCCGCCUGGGGGAGUACGGUCGCAAGACUGAAACUCAAAGGAAUUGAAGGGGCCCCGCACAAGCGGUGGAGUAUGUGGUUUAAUUUCUAUGCAACGCAAGAACCUUACUUGGCCUUGACAUGUCGGGAACUUUCCAAAGAUGGAUUGGUGCCUUCGGGAAUCGAACCCAAGGCUGAUGGCUGUGUCAGCUCUUCGCAAUGUGGGGUGAAUUCCCCCACCGA